rnacentral:lncRNA from 1 species
GGUCUUUUCUCAAAUUCCAAAAAGAGGGCAGAUGUAUUUGAUUGGGCUAAGAGUAAAAAUACUUCAAUAGUGUGUUUCCAAGAAACUCAUAGUAAUAAAGACAUUGAAAAAAACUGGGAGGAUGAAUGGGGAAGCACAUGUUUUUUCAGUCAUAAAGACAGUAAAAGUGCAGGUGUCUCUGUUAUGUUUAAAAAGGGUCUGGAUUUUGUUGUGCAUAAUUCUGUUACUGAUGAUAAUGGUCGUUACAUUGUUUUAGAUUUAACAAUUUUUUCACAAAGAUUAAGUUUUGCCUGUUUGUAUGGUUAUAAUACUGAUGAACCUUCAUUCUUUGAUACACUUAUGCAGAACAUUUUAUCCUUUAAAAACACAAGUGUUUUAUUAUGUGGUGACUGGAAUGUUGUUUUAGAUAAAUUUAUGGAUACAUAUAAUAUCAAACAUAAUAGAAAUCCUAACUCCCGUAAAAAAAUUGAUGAAAUCAUUGAUGUAUUUGAACUACUUGACCCUUGGCGUACAUGCUAUCCAGAAGAUAGGAAAUAUACUUGGCGUCAGUCCUCACCUAUAAAACAAAGUCGUUUAGAUUAUUUUUUAAUUUCAGAA